rnacentral:rRNA from 1 species
UGCGUAGGCGGACUAAUAAGUCAGUGGUGAAAUCUCUCGGCUCAACCGGGAAACUGCCAUUGAUACUGUUAAUCUUGAGUUCGGUUGAGGUAGGCGGAAUGUGUAAUGUAGCGGUGAAAUGCUUAGAUAUUACACAGAACACCAAUUGCGUAGGCAGCUUACUAGACCGACACUGACGCUGAGGCACGAAAGCGUGGGUAGCGAACAGGAUUAGAUACCCUGGUAGUCC